rnacentral:lncRNA from 1 species
CUUAGUUUUCCAUAACUGCUAGUUUGCAAAUGGGCUUUGGUUUGGGCCCAUUUCCUUAGCACAGACGUGGCCCUGUGUAUAUGAUUCUGGCAGACUGCUGCUCUGCAGUAUGCUUUGGUUUCCAUCAGACCUUGGGAAGUUCUUCUGAGCACCUGUGAAGUUCAGUCCUGUCUACGCCGAGCAGGACUGCAGACACAGCUCUGCUGGGUCCUUCCCUCCAAGUGCUUGGGUGAGACACAGGCUGAGCUCUUGCAGACUGAGUUUAUAACAUCUGGUGUAGCUCUGCAUUGUGGACACCUCGCUGGAGCCUCCAGGGUCAGCUGAUGGACUGAGAAACCCCGUGAAGCACAGUGUCUUCUGGAACCACGGGGAAUGGCAUGGUACAGGAUGGAAGGGGAAGGCAGACAGUAGAUUGGGAAGCUGUGGAAGAGGAAAUGCAUUAAGUUCAAUUCAGCAGAGCAAGCACUUAGAGAAGCAAAAGGAACAAAUCACAGCCUCAGAAACGGAGUUUGGCUGCUUAUCAGGUUUUUACACAAAUGAUCUCUGUGCCUGAAGUCUGAGCAAUUCUUCUGAAGGAACAACAGAAGUUAGAAAUCUGAUUUAGCCUGACAAGCCGAAUGAAGCUUGGUGGAACUGAACAUAUAAAAGAUGAUAAUUACUGAGGACUUUUCAGAGAACUCACAAGAAUCCGUCCAGAAGGCUCACUCUGUACCAAAACAAGUGUCAAAAUAGAUAAGUGAAACUUCAUGGUCAGGAAAACCCCAUUCACUGGGAAGGUCAGUGUCACAAGAGUAUUUUUCCCUAUGGAGAAUUUGCUCUUCAAAAAUAUGAUGAGAUAAAACAUUACUGGUACCAUGUUAUAUUACUUUUGCUGAAAUGGGAACUGCGUGGGUGGCUGACAAACUUGAGGGAGUGAACAUGCAUCUGACUAAUACUGUCUUUAUCUUAUCUUUUCUGUGGGCUAAAAAGCAGCAUUGGGAAACACUUAUGGAAUGGUCUUUUCCUCAUGGCUCUUUAACUUGAUUAUAUCCUUAUUUACUAUUUAUAUCCUUCAAGUUUUCCUUUAUUAUAUCAGAAUGCAAUGCAUGAUUCAAUGGAUUGAAGGUAAAUAAGCAGUAGUAAUAAUUAAUCAGAAGCCCAGUGAUUUUUCUUUAAAUAUUUAUGUUUGCAAGGCACUGAAUCAGGUUCUCAUCAAGGAGUAGAUUUUUAUAGCAUGAAUAAGAUAAAGUGAGUAACAUUUCUUCCUGUUAAUCUAAGUCCUUCUAAUGUAUUUAUCCUGAGUACAACAAAGCAAGUGCUGCACAUUGAUACUUAGCUCUGUUUACCCACAUGGAUGCUUUUGAUAAACUUCCCAUGAAGCCCUCUUUGGUGUUGGGAGAGUAACUUUUUGCCAUGGGUUUUUCCAAAACAAAAUAAAAGUUUAUGGGAAAGAUCAGCUGACCAGUGCAUCUGAAACUUGUGUAGUUUCCUUUCUGCCUCAAGGAGGACUUGCAGAUUACAUUUGAUCGGUGAAACCUGAGUUCAAGACCUCACCCAGAGUGUUGAAACUCUUUGGCAAACCUAAGUAACAUCUGCAAGACCUUGUGAGGAUGUUAUGUAUAGCUGCAAUGAGCUCAACACACGUUGAUCUCUGAUCAGAAUUACAGUUUUUUUUUUAACUAUUUCAACAGGAUGUAGUGCACCAGUAAAGAAGAAAAUUGUGAUAUAUGCUAAAGUUUGCUAGACUAUAUACUCGCAUACAUAAAAAUAAUUAUACCAUAUAUGUAUGUGUAUGUAUGUGUGUAUAAAUAACUUUAUUUUGUUUUCAAAUAACUAUCUUAGAUCUCAAUCCCAGUCUUACUGUAUGCAGUAGGAAUUGCUCAGUGAAUAAUAAGAACAUAGCAAAAUAAUUACAAAAAAAAAAACCUAACAAAACAAAAAAAACCCAUCAGAUCAUACUUCUAAUGCUGUGUGAUUUUAAAGCUCAGUUUGUUUGUAAAGAUUCAGUAGAUUUAAAGCAUAAUAUUAUUUGUUUAUUUUGCCGUUACUAAUUACAAUUAAUUUUUUUAAAAUUUAAUUUAAUUUUAUUUAAAAUUAAUUUUAUUAAAAUUAAAUAAUUAAAGACAUUUGUAUAAAACAGAAAAAAAUAAAACAAAGUUCAUCACAACAAUCUUUGAUUUACAAAACUAUUUUCCAUGUGUCUUCUUUUUUUUUUUUUUUUUUUUUUUCCCAUGGGGAUUUUUCUAAUCUCUCAUAUAACCAUUAAAUUAAGUAAAAUCUUCUCAGAUUUAUGAGAAAUCUGUGGAAAUCUGUGUAACUUCAAGGAAGGAUUGGAAACUGAAAUUUCUCACCCUUGGAAAUUUUUGACGCUUCAAUAGUAUAAUAUACAGGCAAAUAAGAAAUAAAAUGCUUUCACAAACUUCAAAAAUCUUAGUUGAAAAAAAUAAUUUUCUAAAUUAUUGAAGGUCACUUCACCACUGGAUGAUAUUUGCUUGAACUUACAUAUCGUGUAAGGAGGCUUAAAAUUUAUGUGUUUUAUCUUUUUGGUAAGAUCUAUUUGCCUCGUUUCUUGGGCAGGCAUCAUGAAUGAUAAUAUACUACAGUCAUGGGGCUUUCAGCCUGUUCUUCAGGUGGGGAGUUCAAAAUAAGUUAUGAAAAGUAGCAUGAAUAGGAAUCUUGUCUUCUUAAGAUUUAUGGCUCCCACUAUAAAUAUAAAAUUGAUCUAAAAGCAAGUAAGCAAUUUAGAAGUGAGUCAGCACUGCUCCUGAAAUCUCUGCCGUUUUGUGUGUCCUCUCUCCUCCACACUCCCUACUGGCUCCCACCUCCAGA